rnacentral:rRNA from 1 species
UACAGAGGUCUCAAGCGUUGUUCGGAUUCAUUGGGCGUAAAGGGUGUGUAGGUGGCGCCGUAAGUCGGGUGUGAAAUUUCGGAGCUUAACUCCGAAACUGCAUUCGAUACUGCGGUGCUUGAAGACUGGAGAGGAGACUGGAAUUCAUGGUGUAGCAGUGAAAUGCGUAGAGAUCAUGAGGAAGACCAGUGGCGAAGGCGGGUCUCUGGACAGUUCCUGACGCUGAGGCACGAAGGCCAGGGGAGCAAACGGG